rnacentral:lncRNA from 1 species
AUCUCCACAUCUGGGAGGCCGAUGAGGACAAAGCACAACUCUUGGAGGAGGAAACUGUCUGCCUUCCUGCUUGUUUCCAGCUUGGAAGAAAUCUCUUCCCUAUCGCAUUCCCUCAUGCAGCACUUCUUUGGGGUCUUCCCCAGGUGCAGAGGUGCAUUCCCACAGCUGCUGCUCCCCUUGGCAUUGUCUGUGCCCUUCUGUCUGCCUGUGCCCAACAGCUGGCCCUGGACUGGUGCUGCAGGUACAACGAGCAUCACCCGGCACCGUCAGUCCCCUCCCCGCUGCUCAGCACUUGGGUUUCCCUUCCAGGCCCCUGCUGCAGCUGCAAUGCCAGCUCCCAUUCAAACAAAGCCUUCCUGGAUAUCUCUUUGGAUAUCAAAAUAAGAGACUUUGCAGUAGCGCUUCUAAAACGCCCCAAGGCCCCUGUAGCUUUCCAGGGUCAGCACUUUUGCGUUCCCAAUGUCUCUUGCGGGCACAAGAGCUCUGGGUGGCGGGUGGGAAGGGGAAUGGCUGGUGUCCUCUCGCAGAGGCCAUGGCACUGGUGUCCCUGUGGUGCUGGCAUGGAGCUGCACAAGCAGCAUUGUCCCCUCUGCGGCCCUGAGGUUUCUGCCUCUUCCUCCUUCCCUUUGCUCCCAGGCUGCCUUGUUGUACCUCCUGAUGAAGGGCUGCUGUCCUGGAGCAGAGUCAUCUUCUCAAGGAGGUUUAAUGCGCACACACGAAACGCACCUUUGUCUAAUAUGGCUCAGAAUGGCCUUAAACUAGCCACAGGGUGUUUGUUUGACACAGGCAACACAGCCAUCAGGAGCAAUUUCUUCAUGGAAAGGUUGGUCAGGCCUUGGGAAGGGGCUGCCCACGGAGGCGAUGGACUCCCCAUGCCUGGAGGUGUUCAAGGAAGGGCUGGAGGUGAAACGGAGUGCUCCGGGCUGGCCGCCAAGGUGGGGAUCGGGCACGGAUGGACUCGCUGAACCCGGAGGUGUUCUCCGUCCUAAAAUGACUCCGAGACACCGGGACUCUGAGCCCAGGCCUGGAGCCCGC